GUGAGUCUCUUGAGCCAUGUACUGCCCUCUCGGGUUACUCACUGGUUGGCUUGGAAGCUUGCCUUCCUCUCUCUUAUUUAGUGCACUCGCUAGCUGCCCUAGCUGGGUUUCUAAUUUGGCAAUAGACUGGAUAUGGGAGUGCAACAAUUGUGUAUUGGCUUCGAAUCCUUGAAGGGCAGUCAAAACUUUUUUCUCAAAAGCCAUAUCUCUUUGGGGUGCUGGAGGAGGGAUAUGUUGAAAUUGUGAAUAGUGAGUAGGAGGACGGUUCGGAUGAACAUUCUGGAAUGGUUGAAAGUUUUGGGAAUAAGGCUGGGAGGUAUUGGAAGUCUGCUGCUUCCAAGAGAAAUUCGGAUGGUUGCGCCAUCCCGGGUUGUAAGUGGUAGAAUAUGGAUCAUUACCCGGUCGG
rnacentral:lncRNA from 1 species